rnacentral:rRNA from 1 species
AUACGGAGGAUCCGAGCGUUAUCCGGAUUUAUUGGGUUUAAAGGGUGCGCAGGCGGGAGAUUAAGUCGGCGGUGAAAUUUUGCAGCUCAACUGUAAAAGUGCCUUCGAAACUGGUUUCCUUUAGUGUAGAUGAAGUAGGCGGAAUUUGUGGUGUAGCGGUGAAAUGCAUAGAUAUCACGAGGAACUCCGAUUGCGCAGGCAGCUUACUAAACUACUACUGACGCUCAGGCACGAAGGCGUGGGGACCAGACAGGAUUAGAUACCCUGGUAGUCCACGCAGUAAACGAUGAUUACUAGCUGUUUGCGAUACAAUGUAAGCGGCUGAGCGAAAGCGUUAAGUAAUCCACCUGGGGAGUACGUUCGCAAGAAUGAAACUCAAAUGAAUUGACGGGG